CCGAACCUGAAAUGCACUGUACCAUCAUUCACCAGACCAAAAAAUAGCAUCUUCCAUAGGCAAAUCUGGCACAGAGGUAAGGCCAAGGAACAGGGGAUCUGCAGAGAUGCACUACACCUGACUGACUGGUGCUAAUCACCAUUAUGCAAUCUGGUUCAGUAGUAUUAUAUAUAUAUAUAUCAUAUAUAUAUAUAUGCAGGUACAAUCCGAAAAGACAAGGUUUCUCGAGAUUCUCGAGCCAAUUCUCUCAUGAGAUUGACAGUCAGAAAGAAAGGACCAUGAGUCGACAAGGGCGCUGUAUGUAAUGUUGGUUGAUACAUAACAUCAUCAUGUACUCUACAUGCACCUAAAACCUAUACAUUCAUCAUCGUCGUCGUCGUCGUCGUCAUCAACAUCUCCGUCAUCCGAGUAAAGGAGUCAAGGCUGUCAUGUCAUCCACCAAGAGAAGACAUGGAGACGAGGAGGACCGAGGCAAGUCAUCAGCUAAGCUAGACAAAUGUGGAGUUUGGAGGGGUGAUGCCCAUCGUCUUGUAGUAGGCCUUCUCGGCCUCCGCCAUCCUCGUCUUGAACAUGCCCCACUCCUUCCGGCACCGCGCCCUCACCCCUUCCCACGCCGGCUUCCCGCGCUCCGCCUUGCCCUG
rnacentral:lncRNA from 1 species